GAUGAACGCUGGCGGCGUGCCUAAUACAUGCAAGUCGAGCGAACAGACGAGGAGCUUGCUCCUCUGACGUUAGCGGCGGACGGGUGAGUAACACGUGGAUAACCUACCUAUAAGACUGGGAUAACUUCGGGAAACCGGGGCUAAUAUCGGAUAAUAUAUUGAACCGCAUGGUUCAAUAGUGAAAGACGGUUUUGCUGUCACUUAUAGAUGGAUCCGCGCCGCAUUAGCUAGUUGGUAAGGUAACGGCUUACCAAGGCAACGAUGCGUAGCCGACCUGAGAGGGUGAUCGGCCACACUGGAACUGAGACACGGUCCAGACUCCUACGGGAGGCAGCAGUAGGGAAUCUUCCGCAAUGGGCGAAAGCCUGACGGAGCAACGCCGCGUGAGUGAUGAAGGUCUUCGGAUCGUAAAACUCUGUUAUUAGGGAAGAACAAAUGUGUAAGUAACUAUGCACGUCUUGACGGUACCUAAUCAGAAAGCCACGGCUAACUACGUG
rnacentral:rRNA from 1 species